AUACUUACCUGGACGGGGUCGAUGGGGGAUCAAGAAGCCUCGUGGCCUAGGCUAGUGGCCCACAUUGCACUUGGUGGGAGCGCUGGCUUACCAUCUCCCCAAGUGGGAGAGUGGACGUCGUAAUUUGUGCUAGAGGGGGUACGCGUUCGCGCGGCCCCUGC